GAUGAACGCUAGCGGCAGGCUUAACACAUGCAAGUCGAGGGGCAGCAUAAUGGAUAGCAAUAUCUAUGGUGGCGACCGGCGCACGGGUGCGUAACGCGUAUGCAACCUACCUUUAACAGGGGGAUAACACUGAGAAAUUGGUACUAAUACCCCAUAAUAUCAUAGAAGGCAUCUUUUAUGGUUGAAAAUUCCGAUGGUUAGAGAUGGGCAUGCGUUGUAUUAGCUAGUUGGUGAGGUAACGGCUCACCAAGGCGACGAUCAGUAGGGGUUCUGAGAGGAAGGUCCCCCCACAUUGGAACUGAGACACGGUCCAAACUCCUACGGGAGGCAGCAGUGAGGAAUAUUGGUCAAUGGACGAGAGUCUGAACCAGCCAAGUAGCGUGCAGGAGUGACGGCCCUAUGGGUUGUAAACUGCUUUUAUAAGGGAAUAAAGUGGGAGUCGUGACUCUUUUUGCAUGUACCUUAUGAAUAGACGGCUAAUUCCGUGCC
rnacentral:rRNA from 1 species